rnacentral:lncRNA from 1 species
UUAAGAAAGAAAGGGCCAUGUUGAGACAACUGAUGGUUUUCAGCGAAAAAAUGCUCGAGAUGAUCCAGGGACUCUGAUGGAGCCUCCGCGAUGACGAUACAUACCUUUCCUAUAUUAAAAUCCAAUUCAUUCUCCGCAUUAUACUUUAGGAGGCCCAAACAAUGAAUCUAGAGAUUUUAGAGCACAUGAACCAGUUUAUCUCUAAUGGAUGCGACGACGAUGACUUCAAGAUGAUUGAUGAGUGGUUUUAUCAAUUUUACAAUAGAUUUGGGUACCCAAUAGCCCCAAGCUC